AUGAAAGCCCUGUUCUGGAACGUUAGAGGUUUCACCACUAGGGGGUGGCGAGACCAGAUUCAUGAUUUGGUUUGCAGGGAGAACAUUGACAUUUUAGGUUUAGUGGAAACUUUUAAAGAAUCCUUCUCUCCUUCUGAAUUAUCUACGAUUGCAGGCAUGGACAUAUUCGACUGGCAUUUUCUUCCUGCCUCGGGACACUCUGGGGGUAUUCUGAUUGGGUCUAAACGGGACGUGUUUGACUAUAUUACUUUUGACCAUGGUAUAUCUUGGGCUAGUGUGGUGGUUCAUCACCGACAACUAAAUACUUUAUGGGAAUGUCUAGUGGUUUAUGGCCCCUCUGAUCACUCUCUUUUGUCUAUUUUCCUUGAUGAGAUUUAUCAUAAGAUCGAGUCUUGCAAUAUUCCAUUACUGAUUGGUGGUGACUUCAAUCUCUUGCACUCUUCGGCUAACAAAAAUAAUCGUAAUUUCUCUUGGCCCCUUGUCGAUGCCUUUAAUGAUUUCUUUAGCAAUUGGGCGAUUCAUGAACUCCCUAGGGUGGGGGCCCGGGGUCUAACCAUCAGACUAAUCCUGUCCAGUCGGUGCUGGACCGGGUGUUUGUCUGCGACAGAUGGGACUCCCUUUUUCCCCGUGCCUCGUUGA
rnacentral:rRNA from 1 species